rnacentral:lncRNA from 1 species
UCAUCCUUAAUCAGAAAGGCGAUCAGCACCACGAAAGCCCCAGCGGCCAUUGGGCCCUACAGUCAAGCUGUGUUAGUCAGGACAAACUUACAUUUCAGGACAGAUAAGCAUGAACCCUUUAAGUGGACAGCUUGUGCCAAGAGGGCUUGUUUAGCAAAAGAAGCUAAGCAAGAACAUGAGUAAAAUUCUGAAAGCUGCAGGCUGUGACUUCACUAAUGCAGUAAAAACAACUGUUUUGUUGGCUGACAUAAAUGACUUCCCUACUGUCAAUGAAAUCUACAAACAGUACUUCAAGAGUAGUUUUCCUGCAAGUGCUGCUUACCUGGUUGCUGCUUUGCCCAAAGGAGGCCAAGCUGAAAUUGAGGAAGUAACUGACCAAGCACCUCUCACAACGGCAUGA